rnacentral:rRNA from 1 species
CCUACGGGUGGCAGCAGUAGGGAAUCUUCCACAAUGGGCGAAAGCCUGAUGGUGCAACGCCGCGUGGGUGAAGAAGGUCUUCGGAUCGUAAAACCCUGUUGUUGGAGAAGAAAGUGAGUGAGAGUAACUGUUCACGUUUCGACGGUAUCUAACCAGAAAGCGACGGCUCACUAAGUGCCAGCAGCCGCGGUAAUACGUAGGUGGCAAGCUUUAUCCGGAUUUUGUGGGCGUAAGGGGAACGCAGGCGGUCUUUUAAGUCUGAUGUGAAAGCCUUCGGCUUAACCGGAGUAGUGCAUUGGAAACUGGGAGACUUGAGUGCAGAAGAGGAGAGUGGAACUCCAGGUGUAGCAGUGAAAUGCGUAGAUAUAUGGAAGAACACCAGUGGCGAAAGCGGCUCUCUGGUCAUUAACUGACGCUGAGGUUCGAAGGCGUGGGUAGCGAACAGGAUUAGAUACCCGGGUAGUC